AUUCCUUUUUCACAGAUGAAGGAACUGCAUGCCCAAGAUCAUGCAGCACAGAGAUUUGGAGGGAAUGACAGAACCAGGAGCAGAAUGCUGCUGUUUUACUCCCAAGCAACAUCCAGCCCACUGGGAGAGUAAAUGAAGCGUGCUGGUCAUGGUGCGCAGCUGGUGGCCUUGCAGUUGUGCUGGGCAAUGUCUGUGCUGCAAGAGGGGUCUUCGAGUCACGUUGCCAAAGGUUUAAAAACCUUCUUAAUAUAACAAAUCUUAGAGCCCAACAGGUAGUCUUAAAGGUUGGUCUUAGUACAGAUGAUUCUGAUAAAAUUGAUUUAAAUAAUGUAUUGCUUAGUACCUUGACACCAGGUUUUAUGAGGUUUUUGAUAGGAACUCUGUUGAUGGAACUUGUCAAGGGCCUUGCGAAACUGAGAACAAAGGCAUGCCUACGUGAGAGUGUGCUCCUCAGGAGGAGAGCUGCGUGGGCUCUGCAGCCCCAUGGAGACUGCACAGGCUUAAGGGCGGAGGCCUCCUACUGGGCUCACCCAGAUGUGUGGCUGGGAAAAUGGGCAGGAAGUGUUGGGAUGCCGACACCUGAGGGAAACUUGACAUAUUUCCAGCAUUGGUGCAGUUCAGUGGUGACGACAUACAAUCACUGUCACCUAGGAAAUGAAACACGUUCCCAUGGCAACCUCGAGGCUGCAUUAUUACUCAGCUUCAAAAUGUUGACAGUUCGAAAAAGGCCUUUUCAGACGACACCCCCCAAGGUGUUGUUUUUUUUUUUUCCCCCUUAAUAAAUUUACUUUGUUAUUUAAUCUGAAAUUCAGAAGAAAGACAUAUGUUUAACUGAAGAUGCUUAGUGGAAAUAAACCUUU
rnacentral:lncRNA from 7 species